GAUAAGAAUGAUCAUCUCUUAAUAUUAUUUACAUACAACAAGCAUUCCAAGUUUUUGUCUCCAAAUCAGACAUUUGUCCAACUCUAACGAAUAGAGGAACAAAAUAAACCCAAAUUGAACAAAAAUCAAUUAACAAAAAUUUACACACACACACACAAUUUCCUAAUCAAUUUCUCAUGUAAUCUCUCUUACUCAACUUUUGAAGAGAGAAAUCACGGGAGAACCAGUAUCAUUCCUCCUCUCCCUACCGUUAAUAGCACCUAACGAUGCUCCAUAAGCAUCACCAACCCUACUCACUGCUGGUGGUACCAAGCCAAAGAGAAGGGCUAAGCUUUGAUUAACUCCAAGUUUAUCCUUAAUCACACAGCUGACCUUGAAGCUUUGAAGUUGCAUUUCUGACCAUGAAUAGGCACAAUCAUCAAUCCUUUCCUACUUGCGGAUGAUAAAACCCAAAGAUUUAACCUUAAUUGUGCGACUGAUUCCACUGCUCCUAUGAAUGAGCUAGAGUAAAUAACAUUCUUGUCAUUUACUAAAUUCAGAGAUCCCUAUAUAGUUGAAGUCUGCCAAACAUAUAUAGACGGGACCGUCAUUGCAACUGAUUUAUUGUUUCAAGUAAAAUUGAGGAAACUUUUCAUUAUCUGCGUUGGAAGUUAAAGAGUGUGUCUCUAACCUGUUCACAGACAAAUAUUUUG
rnacentral:misc_RNA from 1 species